rnacentral:rRNA from 1 species
GUUGAACGCUGGCGGCAUGCCUAAUACAUGCAAGUCGAGCGAACAGACGCGUACCUUGCUCCUCUGGCGUUAGCGGCGGACGGGUUAGUAACACGUGGAUACCCUACCUAUAAGACUGGGAUCACUUCGGGAAACCGGAGCUCAUGCCGGCUAAUAUAUUAAACGGCAUGCUUCAAUACUGAAAUAGGGUUUUGCUGUCACUUAUAGCUGGAUCCGUGCCACAUUAGCUAGUUGGUAAGGUAAUGGCUUACCAAGGCGACGAUGCGUAGCCGACCUGAGAGGGUGAUCGGCCACACUGGAACUGAGACACGGCCCAGACUCCUACGGGAGGCAGCAGUAGGGAAUCUUCGGCAAUGGGCGAAAGCCUGAUGGAGCAACGCCGCGUGAGUGAUGAAGGUCUUCGGAUCGUAAACCUCUGUUAUUAGGGAAGAAAAAAUGUUGAAGUAACUAUGCACGUCUUGACGGUACCUAAUCAGAAAGCCACGGCUAACUACGUG